rnacentral:rRNA from 1 species
GAUGAACGCUGGCGGCGUGCCUAAUACAUGCAAGUCGAGCGAACGGACGAGAAGCUUGCUUCUCUGAUGUUAGCGGCGGACGGGUGAGUAACACGUGGAUAACCUACCUAUAAGACUGGGAUAACUUCGGGAAACCGGAGCUAAUACCGGAUGAUAUUUUGAACCGCAUGGUUCAAAAGUGAAAGACGGCCUUGCUGUCACUUAUAGAUGGAUCCGCGCUGCAUUAGCUAGUUGGUAAGGUAACGGCUUACCAAGGCAACGAUGCAUAGCCGACCUGAGAGGGUGAUCGGCCACACUGGAACUGAGACACGGUCCAGACUCCUACGGGAGGCAGCAGUAGGGAAUCUUCCGCAAUGGGCGAAAGCCUGACGGAGCAACGCCGCGUGAGUGAUGAAGGUCUUCGGAUCGUAAAACUCUGUUAUUAGGGAAGAACAUAUGUGUAAGUAACUGUGCACAUCUUGGCGGUACCUAAUCAGAAAGCCACGGCUAACUACGUG